ACACACACACACACUGAUCUCACGUCAGUCAUUUAAAAGUGCUGAUAACACAAUGCCUUUAAUGACCAACAAUCCUCAGAAGCCAUUUCUGCACAUAUAUCCUUUAUCUGUUAAUGACUGAAUGUAUCACGCCUGAAUUUCAUUACUCAGGGAAAAACGCCCAAGCAGAGAGAGAGGGCUGAUGGGAAGCGUUUCUCCAGUACUCUGACAGGACGCCGAGGACAAUCUCCACCGCGAGUCUUUCUUCUCAGGCGAAUCUCAUGCCAAUGUCACAUCAGGAAAUCUAGGUGCUAGGUGGUUGCUAGAGUAUUUUGACUGGUUUCUAAGGCAUCGCUAGGCAGUUGCUUUGGUGUUCUGACAUUGAUAGGUGGUUGCUAUUGUGUUUUGUCUGGUUUCUAAGGCAUCGCUAGGCAGUUGCUGUGGUGUUCUGACAUUGAUAGGUGGUUGCUAUUGUGUUUUGUCUGGUUUCUAAGGCAUCGCUAGGCAGUUUCUGUGGUGUUCUGGCAUUGCUAGGUGGUUGCUAGAGUGUUUUGUCUGGUUUCUAAGGCAUCGCUAGGCAGUUUCUGUGGUGUUCUGGCAUUGCUAGGUGGUUGCUAGAGUGUUUUGACUGGUUUCUAAGGCGUCACUAGGCAGUUGCUGUGGUGUUCUGGCAUUGCUAGGUGGUUG
ensembl:lncRNA